AUGACCAGUUCAAUGUCCAUUCUACUCCCACUCUAUUUCUAUGCAGCUGUUUGGUCUGUCAGUGGCAGCUGCCGCAAAACAGCGGCUUUCUGCCGUAAAAACAGUGGCAGCAACUGCCGCAAAGCAGCAGCAGCUGCCGUGGCGAGUCUGCCUCAGGUCUGUUAUUGAGGCGAUGGAGAGGAGGAGAGGAGAGAGGAGAGAGGAGUCAGGUCUGUCUUCUGAGCUGAACUGAGGAGAAGAGAAGAGGACAGAGAAACAUGGACCACCAGGAAGCCACUGGAGAGGGGCUGAAGAGACACAUGUGGCUCUGGAGCCGCAGGUUGCUGACCCCUGAGUUAGGUGUUAAACUCCCCUCCUCUUGUCCUUGUAGCAGAGGGAGAAGAGCUACUACCAGUCUGUAGCCUUGGGACCAGUCAGCCCUGAAGGGGAGUAGAGAGCUACUAUUCAGAGCUAAGGGAGGUCACGACCUGCUGAGUGUAAAGUUCAGGUGAAUCUAGAGCUGGGCCUCACAGCCCGGCUGAGGGAGAAAGAAAAAGAUGUCAGAAGACGUUGUCAGAGGGACACAGAAUGCAGACAUCCAACACCUCAUAGAGAAAGUUGUCUUCCAGCUGCAUGGGAGCUACCCCAGAACCCAAGAGAGAAGAAACAAAAAAAAGGUGUGUUUCAACUACAACCUUUUCUUUAACUCAGAGGGUGACCACCUGCGCUGUGAGACGCUCACCUUCAACAACCCCACCAGAGAGUUCAGGAGGAAGCUGAUCAAAGCUGGAGCGGUGAGGCGGACUAAUACACUGGCUGGUUCACUGGACUGAUGGCUAAAUGACUAGACUCAACAGUAGCAGCAACCAUGUAAUCUACUGUAUACUCUCAAAUAUGCCUGGUUCAGUCUUCAGUCGAGGUAACGGUGGUUCAAGAGAGGGCUGAGGCUGCAACAAGAUCCAGUCCAGACUCCCCGAUACCCCCAACGAAGAAGAUCAAGACCUCCCAUGUGUCAGAGGAGGAUUUAAAGGUUGAUGUCUCAAUACCAGAGGGACAACCUUGUGUCUGACAGCCAGGUGGGACUUCUUUUACUCAGAUUUGACUGAGAGGCAGACUGGAUCAGUUUGAGCGGCAGGGGAAGAAGGGGAGGCGGCGAGCUAGUGAGAGAGUGGUGACCUUCUGUCCCAUAGCUGAGGCCCGAUAAUCUCACAUCAAAGUCUGAGCACCACAGAGACCUGACUGCAACAGGCCCUCACUCCCUGACUCUGUGGAAUAAAAGAGAUGUUUUCAAUCAGUGUGCUUUCUUCAGAUGAAACAUUUAAAAUUUGAACAGGCUGAGAAAGAUCAGUUUAACAACUUUUGGUCUUAAUGCUUUCAGAUAGUUUAGAAAACUUGUAUCUCAAUGUUGCAGAAAAUGCAUGGUGCUAUAACCAACAGUUGUUUUGAAUCACUUUAGAUUCUUCUUUUGAUUUAUGUGUUGUAAAAAUCAACAUUAGGAUACAAAGGAAUACUGUGUGAAUGUUUAUGUAUCUACUGUAUUGAACUUUUGAAAUAAAGUAUGAAAAAAAUAAAAGUUGUCAUUAAGUUGUAUGAGUAACAUAUAAGCCCCAUUGUUAAUAUUGUUUUUUUGUUUUUAUUCAUCUUUUUCUUUCCUUACAUGUUAUUUGUUGUACAAUUUAUUUUAUUUUUGUAUUAUUUUUAUACUGUAAAAUAUAUUUGCAGAAUUGUUUAUGUAUUUACUGUAUUAAAUUUUUGAAAUAAAGUUUGAAAAAAUAAAAGUUGUUAUCAAGUUGUAUGAGUAACAUAUAAGCCCCAUUGUUAAUGUUGUGAUUUUGUUUUUAUUCAUCUUUU